ACGGGAGGCAGCAGCUAAGAAUAUUCCGCAAUGGACGAAAGUCUGACGGAGCGACGCCGCGUGGAUGAAGAAGGCCGGAAGGUUGUAAAAUCCUUUUGGACGUGAGGAAUAAGCGAUGUAGGGAAUGACAUUGCGGUGACUGUAGCGUCUGAAUAAGCAACGGCUAAUUACGUGCCAGCAGCCGCGGUAACACGUAAGUUGCGAGCGUUGUUCGGAAUUAUUGGGCGUAAAGGGCAUGCAGGCGGCUAUGAAAGCCUGAUGUGAAAUGCCGGGGCUCAACCCCGGAACUGCAUUGGGAACUUCAAAGCUAGAGUUACUGAGGGGCAGCCGGAAUUCCAGGUGUAGGGGUGAAAUCUGUAGAUAUCUGGAAGAACACCAAUGGCGAAGGCAGGCUGCCAGCAGAUAACUGACGCUGAGGUGCGAAGGUGCGGGGAGCGAACAGGAUUAGAUACCCUGGUA
rnacentral:rRNA from 1 species